UAGCUGGUCUGAGAGGAUGACCARCCACACUGGAACUGAGACACGGUCCAGACUCCUACGGGAGGCAGCAGUGGGGAAUAUUGGACAAUGGGGGCAACCCUGAUCCAGCAAUGCCGCGUGUGUGAAGAAGGCCUGAGGGUUGUAAAGCACUUUCAGUGGGGAGGAGGGUUGAUAGGUUAAGAGCUGAUUAACUGGACGUUACCCACAGAAGAAGCACCGGCUAACUCCGUGCCAGCAGCCGCGGUAAUACGGAGGGUGCGAGCGUUAAUCGGAAUUACUGGGCGUAAAGGGUGCGUAGGUGGUUGAUUAAGUUAUCUGUGAAAUUCCUGGGC
rnacentral:rRNA from 1 species